rnacentral:rRNA from 1 species
GGAACUUUGAAACAAGAGUGUGUUACUUCAACAGGGGUGAAAUCUGCAUAUACCAUGAAUUUUUUGGUUAAAGUACCUUUUAGGUGGUCAAAUGACUAGGAUUAGAUACCCUAUUAGUCCACUCUUAAUUAACCUGGGUAGUAGUAUCGAAACCUAAAGAAUUUGGCGGUUUCUAAACCUACUAGAGGAACCUGCCCCAUAAACGACAAUCCACGAAAAAAUUCACCCGGGCUAGUUAUGCAGCUUAUAUACCGUCGUUUAGAGGACUAAAUAAAUAGAUCCUCUUAAAAGCUUAGGCUAAUAAAUCAGAUCAAGGUGUAGCUCAUGCCCGGGAGAGGGUGGGUUACAAUGAAAAUUCAUACGGAGCUUUUAUUUUAUGAUAGAAAAGAAGGUGGAUUUAGAAGUAAGACUUAAUAUACUGAAAAAGGCUCUCAGAAAUGUACACAUCGCCCGUCGCUCUCUUGUCCGAAGAGAUAAGUCGUAACAAAGUAGGUGGACCGGAAGGUCUAUCUCGAAAGA